rnacentral:rRNA from 1 species
AACGAACGCUGGCGGCAGGCCUAACACAUGCAAGUCGAGCGCCCAGCAAUGGGAGCGGCAGACGGGUGAGUAACGCGUGGGAACCUUCCCAAUGGUACGGAAUAGCUCAGGGAAACUUGAGGUAAUACCGCAUAAGCCCGAAAGGGGAAAGAUUAUCGCCAUUGGAUGGGCCCGCGUAGGAUUAGCUAGUUGGUGAGGUAAUGGCUCACCAAGGCGACGAUCCUUAGCUGGUUUGAGAGAAUGACCAGCCACACUGGGACUGAGACACGGCCCAGACUCCUACGGGAGGCAGCAGUGGGGAAUCUUGGACAAUGGGCGAAGCCUGAUCCAGCCAUGCCGCGUGAGUGACGAAGGUCUUCGGAUUGUAAAGCUCUUUUGCCAGGGACGAUAAUGACGGUACCUGGAGAAUAAGCCCCGGCUAACUUCGUGCCAGCCGCCGCUGUAAG